ensembl:snRNA U6 U6 spliceosomal RNA
GUGCUCACUUCUGCAGCACAUAUACUAAAAUUGGAACAAUAUAGAGAAGAUUAGCAUGACCCCUGGGCAAGGAUGACAUGCAAAUUCAUGAAGUGUUCCAUAUAAAA